GAUGAACGCUGACAGAAUGCUUAACACAUGCAAGUCGACUUGAACUUCGGUUUGGGUGGCGGACGGGUGAGUAACGCGUAAAGAACUUGCCUCACAGAUAGGGACAACAUUUGGAAACGAAUGCUAAUACCUGAUAUUAUGAUUUUAGGGCAUCCUAGGAUUAUGAUAGCUAUAUGCGCUGUGAGAGAGCUUUGCGUCCCAUUAGCUAGUUGGAGAGGUAACGGCUCACCAAGGCGAGGAGGGGUAGCCGGCCUGGGAGGGUGAUCGGCGACAAGGGGACGGAGACACGGCCCUUAUGCCUACGGGAGGCAGCAGGGGGGAAUAUUGGACAAUGGACCAAGAGUCUGAUCCAGCAAUUCUGUGUGCACGAUGAAGUUUUUCGGAAUGUAAAGUGCUUGCAGUUGGGAAGAAAAAAAUGACGGUACCAACAGAAGAAGUGACGGCUAAAUACGUG
rnacentral:rRNA from 1 species